GAAAAUCUUAGUCAAGCCAUAGAAAUUAUCAAAAAAGAACCACAUGGAAAUAUAGAAAUGAAAAAUAAAAUAACCAAACUAAAAACUUGUGGGAUAGGCUUAAUAAUAGAAUGGAGAUGUAGAGGAGAGAACUGGUGGCCUUGAGAACAAAUAAAGAGAAUUUACCAAAUCUGAACAAAGAAAAAAAAUGUUGGAAGAAGAAGGAGGAGGAGGAGGAAAUAGUGCCUCAGCAGGAAGUCUGCAUUAUUGCU
rnacentral:lncRNA from 10 species